AGCGAACGCUGGCGGCAGGCCUAACACAUGCAAGUCGAACGAACCUUUCGGGGUUAGUGGCGGACGGGUGAGUAACACGUGGGAACGUGCCUUUAGGUUCGGAAUAACUCAGGGAAACUUGUGCUAAUACCGAAUGUGCCCUUCGGGGGAAAGAUUAAUCGCCUUUAGAGCGGCCCGCGUCUGAUUAGCUAGUUGGUUGAGGUAAUGGCUCACCAAGGCGACGAUCAGUAGCUGGUCUGAGGGGAUGAUCAGCCACAUUGGGACUGAGACACGGCCCAAACUCCUACGGGAGGCAGCAGUGGGGAAUCUUGCGCAAUGGGCGAAAGCCUGACGCAGCCAUGCCGCGUGAAUGAUGAAGGUCUUAGGAUUGUAAAAUUCUUUCACCGGGGACGAUAAUGACGGUACCCGGAGAAGAAGCCCCGGCUAACUUCGUG
rnacentral:rRNA from 1 species